CGGCCGUUUUAAUACAAUAAUGAAAAACAUCCAAACUUUGUUGUUGCAUUGCGGUUCAUCUACACGUUGUCCAAUUAUGCAGCCAUGCGGUCGGAGCUUUCGGCUAAUCAACGAUAUUGAUAUUAUUAACCGCAACAACAAAUGCGAGGAAACUACAUGUCAUGGGAACGAACGUUGACUUAGAUUGUCGAAGGCGAUUUUUGCAAUUUCACAAGAGUAAGAGUUGCACGCCUAUGUAUGUAUGAGGACGCAGAAUCCAAUAACAAUCUUAAAGCAAUUUCCAUAUCUUCUUGUUUUGAAGAAAAGGAAAUUAAGCGAAAAUACGCAGUCAGUAAUAAUGAACAACCGGGAAACUAUGAGAAUGUACAUCAGUAUUGGAACAUUGCUGCAAGAAAGUUGUUCGACUCAUAGAUGUUACGGUAAGCGCA